AACUGUCCUUCUACAGGCUGUCCGUUCCUGCGGAGGGGCCAGCUGGAUGGUGGAGGACGGUCCGGGCCCGGAUUCCGUGAUGUGUGUUUUCGGGGGGUGGAACUCGAGACUCGAACCCGAGUCUGCCAGAGUGGAGGACCAAUAUGUUUCCACGCAGCUAGUCUGGCCGACUGCAGACGUGUUCGGUCACGCCUGUGAAAUAUUCUUUCCGAUCAACUCGAUCGUUACCCAUAGUGUGAACAGGUUCGUUACAAACAAUGCAAAAAUAUUUGACCGGAUUGAGAGCUGAGAAAGAACAGGCUUAUAAAAUUCAUCUAAAGAUGUCUGAACACCUAAUUGUUCUUUUAAUUGAUCUUUGUUAUUUUUUCUUAUUUCUUUAUCUAAUUUAAUUAAAAAAGUAAAAUUUUUUUAUUUCCUGUUUGU
rnacentral:lncRNA from 1 species